rnacentral:rRNA from 1 species
UUCUUCUCUGAUCUUUGACACUGAUUGUUAAAUUGAUUUGGAUCUAAGAUAUGUUCUUCUACUCAUAGAUGGGUAUUGAUCCACCGUAUUGAUUGUUGAAUCGUCAUUUGUAGCUUGCUAGCUAGACUUAAAAUAAAAUUAUCAACCCAGUUACUUAAAAAAAAUUUGAAUAGUUCAAUAACCAUUUUGUAACUUUUUAAAGUUGAAUAAUAAAAACAUAAACUUAAUAAUAAUUUAGUGAUCUUAGGUGUAAUUUACCCUUAAAUCAAAAAAGAUACUUUGUUGAAAUAAGAUUUAAUAUGAAUUGAACAAUGACGGUAUUUGGGGAAUAAGCAUCGGUUAACUCUGUGCCAGUAGCUGCAGUAAUACAAAUAAUGCAAGAGUUAUCUGCAAUGAUUGGGCGUAAAGUGUCUGUAGGUGGCUUUUUAUGUCUGCCAUCAAAUCCCAAGGCUCAACCCUGGACAAGUGGUGAAAACUUCGAAGCUGGAGUACAGUAGGGGUAGAGGGAAUUUUCGGUGGAGCGGUGAAAUACGUAGAUAUUAAAGAACACCAACGGAAAAAGUACUCUACUGGGUUGACACUGACACUGAGAGACUAAAGCCAGGGGAGCAAAUGGGAUUAGAUACCCGAAUAGUCCUAGCCGUAAAUGAUGGAUACUAGGCACUAUGCGUAUCGACCCAUGUAGUGCUGUAGCUAAUGCAUUAAGUAUCCUGCUUGGGGAGUAUGUUCACAAGAAUGAAACUAAAAGGAAUUGACAGGGGCCCAUACAAGCGGUAGAGCAUGUGGUUUAAUUCGAUGUAAAGAGAAGAACCUUACCAGGGCUUGACAUGCCGCGAAUCCUCUUGAAAGAGAGGGGUGCCUUCGGGAACGCGGACAUAGGUGGUGCAUAGCUAUCGUUAGCUCGUGUCGUAAGGUGUUUGGUUAAGUCUCGCAACAAGCACAAUCCUCGUGUUUGGUUGCCACCGCUGAGUUUGGAACCCUGAGCAGACUACCGGUGAUAAGCUAGAGGAAGGUAAGGAUAACGUCAAGUUAUCAUGCCCCUUAUGCCUUGGGUGACACAUGUGCUACAAUAGACGAGACAAAGGGUCGNGUGCAUAGCUAUCGUUAGCUCGUGUCGUAAGGUGUUUGGUUAAGUCUCGCAACAAGCACAAUCCUCGUGUUUGGUUGCCACCGCUGAGUUUGGAACCCUGAGCAGACUACCGGUGAUAAGCUAGAGGAAGGUAAGGAUAACGUCAAGUUAUCAUGCCCCUUAUGCCUUGGGUGACACAUGUGCUACAAUAGACGAGACAAAGGGUCGCAAUCCCGCGAGAGUGAGCUAACUCUAAAAACCCAUCUUCAAUUCGAAUUG